rnacentral:rRNA from 1 species
UUUCCCUCAGGAUAGCUGGCACUCGCUCGAACGAGUCUCAUCUGGUAAAGCGAAUGAUUAGAGGCCUUGGGGCCGAAACGACCUCAACCUAUUCUCAAACUUUAAAUGGGUGAGAUCUCUGGCUUGCUUGAACGUUGAAGCCACGAGAAUGGAUCAGAGUGCCAAGUGGGCCAAUUUUGGUAAGCAGAACUGGCGCUGUGGGA